rnacentral:lncRNA from 13 species
UCAUGACCUCAGAGCGUUCUCUUUGGGUCUCCUCUGCAGGAAGCCCAGCAUGGCUCCAGGACAGGCACGUGGAAUAUGGAAACCUGGAAGGGGAGCAUCCCAGGAAGGUGAAAUGGCACCGCUGAUGUCAGAGUUGGGAAGGCUGUCAUGGACCAGAGCAAGCAGGGGAGAAGAUGGAUGGCUCCAGGAUUCAGGGAACAUGCGACCGCAGAUUCACAGAUCACCCGGUGUCAGCCGUGUGUAAAGCAGAAGGACCAGUCCAGCAGUCACUCACUCCUCAGGGAAGAUGGCUUCCUGUGUGUGAACUUCCACUUUGACCCAAGGCUUCCCCAGCUGGCCUGGAGUCCCCACAGACCUGGGAGAUUGAUGCAUGGUUCCAUGUGGCCAUAGAACCUCCUUCCUGGAUGCAGGAUUUCUAGGUGUGAAUCUGGGAGAGCUGUUCCUGGAGCCCCUGGCCCAUGAGGCUCAGAUCCUUGAUGCACAGCCUGCUUCUAAGCCUCAUGGACUUUGACUCACUGUGAUUCCCCCACGGUGACCUCAUCAGCUUAUCUCAGGCUCAAAAACAUGCCAGCACUGCUCUUAACUUUAUAAGUGUUGGCAAGGUGUCAGACACUUGGUUUUCACAAAUGUCUUUGUCCCCUUAAAUUCCAGGGGAGGUGCCAAAAAGUGGCAUCCUAUCCACAGCCCAGGACUUGGAGGAAGUUACUUCUCACACUUGCCAACUCAGGUGUUUGAAGAACUGAGGUAGUGUUCUAAGCUGUUUGUGUGUAUUCUCUCAAUCCUCACAGAAUCCCAAUCAGGUAGGGGCUAUCAUCUCCACAUUUUGUUAAUGUGGAAACUAAGGAACAGAGAGGUUGAGUAAAUUAUCCCAAACUACACAGCUAAUUGAGGGAGUUUGAGGCUGUCCCAAAUGACAAUGAUGGCUCCCAAUUGCUUCAACUUGGUAUUCAAGACUAUGUCUACCAUACAGACUUUUUCUCUUUCUUUCCCUGACAACUUCCUCCUAGUUACUGAGUUAGAAUUUCAAGAGAAAAAUAAAUAAGAUAGAGGAUUUGAUCA